rnacentral:rRNA from 1 species
UACGUAGGGUGCAAGCGUUAAUCGGAAUUACUGGGCGUAAAGCGUGCGCAGGCGGUUAUGCAAGACAGAUGUGAAAUCCCCGGGCUUAACCUGGGAACUGCAUUUGUGACUGCACGGCUAGAGUGUGUCAGAGGGGGGUAGAAUUCCACGUGUAGCAGUGAAAUGCGUAGAGAUGUGGAGGAACACCGAUGGCGAAGGCAGCCUCCUGGGCCAGCACUGACGCUCAUGCACGAAAGCGUGGGGAGCAAACAGG